GGAAGGAUCAUUCCAAAUGAUUGUUCUUUGAACAACCUUCAAACCGUGUAAUUUGGCUUUUUGCCGACUUUCCAACUCGUAUAUCUUUUGUUGUUUUUUUAAAUUGAACAACUCUUAGCAACGGAUACCUCGGCUACCACUACGAUGAAGAACGCAGCGAAUCGCGAUAGGAAUUGCGAAUUGCAGAAUUCAGUGAAUCAUCGUAACUUUGAACGCAAACUGCGCUUGGGGGUUGACCCCGAGCAUGCCUUUCUGAGUGUCGGUCAAACCAUUUUUUGGGUUUUCCCAUAAAGUUAUGAGAGUUCUUAUUGAUCUCUUAAAGAAUGAGUAGCACCCGUAAGGGUGUGUAAGAAAUGACUGACUGCUCCGUCAGCAGCGAGUGGAGAUGAAAAUUUUCACGAGCGACGGUAGUGUCUGACAUGGAAUUACACUUGCUCUACAGUGACUCUUUCGAGAGACACAAUUGUUCUGACCAUCGACCUCAGAUGAGGUAGGAUUACCCGCUGAACUUAAGCAUAUCAUUAAGCGGAGGAAAAGAAACUAACUAGGAUUCCCUUAGUAACGGCGAGUGAACUGGGAAGAGCUCAAACCUGUAAUCGGCGUCGGUCUCCGGCGUCCGAGUUGUGGUCUCGAGAAGUAUUCUCAGUGUUGGCCCCGGUCUAAGUCUGUUGGAAUACAGCUGUCACAGAGGGUGAGAACCCCGUCUGAGACUGGGAGUCCAGUACGUACGAGAUGCUAUCCAAGAGUCGGGUUGCUUGGGAGUGCAGCCUUAAAUGGGUGGUAAAUUCCAUCUAAAGCUAAAUAUCAGUGGUAGACCGAUAGCGCACAAGUACCGUGAGGGAAAGGUGAAAAGGACUUUGAAAAGAGAGUCAAAAGUACUUGAAAUUGUUAAGAGAUUAACGGAUAGGAACCAUUGUAUCGAAGCGCGGUAACUAGCCAAGGAUCGAGGGACCGGGCAGCUGUCUGUGUCUAGGCUUUUCCAAAGUCAAGAGGACGUUGUUUGUGGAACUCGUCGCCGAGGUUGUAUUUCCGCGCGGGCUGUCAGGGUGGAUUCAGGGUAGGCGUGAAGAGGCAUACACAGGAGGUAGAGUCGUGAUCGGCUUGCCGUGAUCCUUGAAUACUGUGUUUGUCGCAAGCGUCGUCUGGAUCGAGGAACGACCGUGACAAAAUGGUUUUUAUUCACCCGUCUUGAAACACGGACCAAGGAGUCUAACGUAUGUGCGAGUAUUAGGGUGGAAAACCCGAGUGCGAAAUGAAAGUGAAGGACAGCAUUAGUUGUCUGAGGUGCGAAGCUUAACAGCAGCAGCAUCGCCCGGUUAGUCCAUUGUGACUGGUUCGAGGCCGAGCACAUCCGCUAGGACCCGAAAGAUGGUGAACUAUGCCUGAGCAGGGUGAAGCCAGGGGAAACUCUGGUGGAAGCUCGUAGCGAUACUGACGUGCAAAUCGUUCGUCAGACUUGGGUAUAGGGGCGAAAGACUAAUCGAACCAUCUAGUAGCUGGUUCCCUC
rnacentral:misc_RNA from 1 species